CCAGCACCCGCGGUAAUUCCAGCUCCAAUAGCGUAUAUUAAAGUUGUUGCAGUUAAAAAGCUCGUAGUUGGAUUUCAAGAGACGCAGCGUGGAUAACACGUCUGCCCUCUACCAGUCUUAGACUGUUACUGUGAGAAAAUUAGAGUGUUUCAGGCAGGCUAGGCCGGAAUACAUUAGCAUGGAAUAAUAGAAUAGGACUACGGUCUCUUUGUUGGUUUGAGGGACUGCAGUAAUGAUUAAUAGGGAUAGUUGGGGGCAUUAGUACUUAACUGUCAGAGGUGGAAUUCUCGGAUUUGUUAAAGACUAACUUAUGCGAAAGCAUUUGCCAAGGAUGUUUUCAUUAAUCAAGAACGAAAGU
rnacentral:rRNA from 1 species